UCAAAUUGAUAACGUAAGGCGUCCAUCAGUUUAUGUACGCAUUCUGUAGUCCAGAAGUAUUGUUCGAGAUCGCGACGUUCCGUAAAGCCUCCGGAAAACAUCGAUCUAUUCGUGGCGAUCUUUCGAGAGACUUCUUGUUCAGUUAUGUUUCUAGCUUCGUCUAUUCUUGGCUAAGCUUUCAAAUGUUUGAAUAUUGAAUGUAGUUUUCCAGUGUAACUAACUUCAAGAUGAAGAACCUUCGCUCAAAAAGUUGAAGCUCUUGUAAUAUUUUUUCAGAUAGCGUGAUCUUUCAAAAAUAUUCUCAAAUGUCUGUAUG
rnacentral:lncRNA from 1 species